UCGCUUUGGCAGCACACGUACUACAACGGGAACGACACGGAGAAGAUUAGCAUGGCCCCUGCCGCAAGGGCGACACAUAAAUUCGAGAAGUGUUCCAUAUUUAA